GGGGAGGUGGCCGAGUGGUCGAAGGCGCACCCCUGCUAAGGGUGUAUACCGGUAACGGUAUCGAGGGUUCGAAUCCCUUCCUCUCCGCCA
rnacentral:tRNA from 1 species